UGAGGAAUAUUGGUCAAUGGGAGCAAUCCUGAACCAGCCAUGCCGCGUGAAGGAUGACGGCCCUCUGGGUUGUAAACUUCUUUUGGAUGGGGCGAAAAAACGGGAUUUAUCCUGGACUGACGGUACCAUCAGAAUAAGCACCGGCUAACUCCGUGCCAGCAGCCGCGGUAAUACGGAGGGUGCAAGCGUUAUCCGGAAUCACUGGGUUUAAAGGGUGCGUAGGCGGUUGUAUAAGUCAGGGGUGAAAGCACGCAGCUUAACUGUGUAAUUGCCUUUGAUACUGUACGGCUUGAAUAGGGUUGAGGUUGGCGGAAUGUGACAUGUAGCGGUGAAAUGCAUAGAUAUGUCAUAGAACACCGAUUGCGAAGGCAGCUGACUGGGCCUAUAUUGACGCUGAGCACG
rnacentral:rRNA from 1 species